GUAGCUCAGCUGGAUAGAGUACUCGGCUACGAACCGAGCGGUCAAAGGUUCGAAUCCUUUCGGGUGCGCCA
rnacentral:tRNA from 2 species